UACGUAGGGUGCAAGCGUUUAAUCGGAAUUACUGGGCGUAAAGCGUGCGCAGGCGGUUCGUUGUGUCGGCGGUGAAAGCCCCGGGCUUAACCUGGGAAUGGCCGUCGAAACUGGCGAACUGGAGUGUGGCAGAGGGGGGUGGAAUUCCGCGUGUAGCAGUGAAAUGCGUAGAGAUGCGGAGGAACACCGAUGGCGAAGGCAGCCCCCUGGGCUGACACUGACGCUCAGGCACGAAAGCGUGGGGAGCAAACAGG
rnacentral:rRNA from 1 species